rnacentral:rRNA from 1 species
AUUGAACGCUGGCGGCACGCUUUACACAUGCAAGUCGAACGGCAGCACGGGGGCAACCCUGGUGGCGAGUGGCGAACGGGUGAGUAAUACAUCGGAACGUGUCCUGUAGUGGGGAACAACCAGUUGAAAGAUUGGCUAAUACCGCAUACGACCUAUGGGUGAAAGCGGGGGAUCGUAAGACCUCGCGCUAUAGGGGCGGCCGAUGUCCGAUUAGCUUGUUGGUGGGUAAAGGCUUACCAAGGCGACGAUCGGUAGCUGGUCUGAGAGGACGACCAGCCACACUGGGACUGAGACACGGCCCAGACUCCUACGGGAGGCAGCAGUGGGGAAUAUUGCACAAUGGGCGCAAGCCUGUUCCAGCCAUGCCGCGUGAGUGAAGAAGGCCUUCGGGUUGUAAAGCUCUUUCGCAAGGAAAGAAAACUCAUCUCCUAAUACGAGGUGAGGAUGACGGUACCUUGAUAAGAAGCACCGGCUAACUACGUGCCAGCCGCCGCAGUAA